GGAAGUCUAGUGAGGUGACCAGCUGUGCGGCAGACAUGUGGCCUUGAGAUUCAGGACAUUGAUCAGAUUCAAAGCUUGCUAAGCAGAAAAAAAGCACCAGUUCAUCACCUCAAAUUGUGCCUUUGGAGCAUAGCUUCUGUCAAAUUUCCUUGAAUCAUAUUUCUACAGAAGGCUUUACACUACGCAUUGCUGGUUUGAUGUAGCUAUGUAGGUACUUCUCCGGUGGGAAAGAUACCAUUUACUGGCAGUUGUCAUGGCAACCAGGGAAUGCGGCAAAGCUCAGAGUAUAGUUUCAAGUAGAAAAUGAACUUGUCAUUGUACAAAUCUGCAAAAGCAAAAAAUAGAUGUAACUUUUUCUCACACGCAUAGAAGUAUAUGAAAUAUCCUGAAUAAAUGUGUCAAGCAGGGAAUGAUGCUUAAGAUCCAAAUGCAGGCCACAGGUGAGACAAUUAUGUUUACAACAAAAAUAAAGUGAUACAUUGUUUAGAAACUAUUACAAUCCACAGGAAUGUUUGUUCCGGUACAAGUCAUCUAGUGGGUUUGCAGCACUAGCUCUAGUGGAUUCAGGCAUGUUUUCAUCACUCUAUGCAGGUACUGCAACUGUAUAAGAUGAUGGUAAACACUAGUGCGGUUCUUCUGUGAUUCGAAACCUUCAGGCAUGGUCAAUGCUACUUACAUUUCAUAAAGGUUCCAAGCAUCUAGAAAGCCGAAAGGCGAGGAGGAUUUCAUACACGUUACGAAGUUUUAUAGAAAAGGAACAUUUCUAGAUUGAGCAUCUUUUCUCCAUAUUCAAAUCAUAUCUGAGACCUCUAAAAAUCCAAGAGUGAUAACGAAGAAUGAGACUGAAAGAAAUCAUAUAAAAAGGGUUGACCGAAUUCUCAAAAGGAAAGUGAAUUUGCCUCUAGAGAAACCAAGGGCCACCAGGCACAACACCUUUUCGCCCACCAAAAGGACAUGAUGAUAUUAUUCUCCCUCUCCUUAUAGAGAAAGUACAGCAUUGCUGAGACAUGACACAUGUCAAACUGUCGUUUGAGGCUGCAGAAUUUGAUCUGAUCCUGUGGUCCACGACAAUCUAAUGGGCCAUCUUGAAAGUACCAUACCUUCCACUAAUUUGACAACCCGUAAAGAUGCAAGUCAAUGUUAUGCCUUCUAUUGUCUGAAGUAGGUCAAAGGCAUUUUGUAUAUUGCAUCCUCUGAAGUCAUACACAUGCAAAUUUAGUAAAAUAAAAAAUAAAAUCAAUGAUCAGCACCAAAAUUUAAGGAGCAAGUGUAAAGGCUAUCUGCAAUGGUUCCCCCCCACCAAAUCACGAAUGGUGAAUCCACGGACGAAGGAACGUCCUCUCCAGGAGGGAAAUUAAUUCAAGUUGGAAAAGGGGAAAAGGAUAUGAAAUCUCAUAGCCGCUCAACCAAUCACUUGGUGACACAAAUACUCACUCAUGAACCAUAAAUUCCUGACCAAAAUAUAGGGAUUACUGUCGGAAACUAUUGACCAAUCAGGACAAGACAUGCAUUGGAAGGAGUAGCGCAUCAAAUCUUACUAUAUCCUGACUAUUCUUUUGGUUUGGUAAUGUAAUGGGAGGUAGACAUUCUGAUUACAUUCACUUCCAAUUAUAUUGUUAAAAUUUUAAAUGAUAUCUCUUUGAUUGGAUUGGCUCCCUUCUUCCUACUGUCUAAUUAAACUAUUUAAAAAUUAAUUUUUGACAUUGUGGUGAAUCCUUUGACCUUUCUUGCAAUUCCAAAUUUCUAUUAACUUUAGGAAAUCAUUACAAAAAACUCCAUUAGCUUUGAAAUUCUCUUAAGCUUUCCUGUACCUGCACAUAUGAUUACAUGAUACAACCUCAUAACCUUGGCAAAUACUGAUCAGGUGAAAACAGAAGUGAAAAUUAACUUGUGCUGUUGUGUAUACCUAAAGCAUGACACCAGUACAAGUACAACUUCACUAAUCUGUGUGCAAGGAGUCAGAGAUCUAUCCAUAUCAGACCUAACGCAUCAAUCCAAAAGAAUCAAGCAUCUACUUUGACAAAAGUUUCAUGACAAAAGAGGCAAACCAGAUCUCCAUUUGAUAUACUUUUGGAUGUCUAUAUAUAGCAAGCUAGAAGGCUCAAGAAGUCAUACAGAAAACAUAGAGUAUUACAGUCAUAUAGAUGACUGAACCUCAUAUCGGGCAAGUAGCAGCCAAUGACUAGGCACACGUACAUACGUGCAUCAUCUCUCUAGUGGUGCACACCCUCGAGCAGUUUAGUUUGGUGCUUCUUGUUACUGAUGACUGUCAAUGGCCUUACGUGAAACGAGAUAGAGAGCAGAAUGCAGCCAAGGAUGACUUGCCGGGUAUGUGCAUGCAUGUUACAAUUGAGCAUAUGCAACCUGUUUUGAGUCCAUGCUCUGGUGUCUUCCGGCAAGUUGUCCUUGGCUACAUCUUGUUCUUUUUCUCUCACGUGAGGCUGUUGCAGGGUUUAAUUUACAUGGUUUACCUUUAGCUUAUAGUCCAUGCGCACAUACCGUUAUGUACUUAUAUCAUGAGAUUGUUAUUUUACUCUGGCCAUGAUGUACUUACGUUAGCUCAUACAUAGCCAUCUAGAGCUGAUUCAACUUAUUAUCAUUCUUUUACUGAUGCUGGGCGUGUUAAGAGGAGGUAGAUGUGCUCUUGAGGUGGUGAGGUCCUGCACUUAACAAUAGAACGUCUUUCCUCUUUAUGCAUAUAGGCACAUCUUGAGCUAGUUCGCAUGUAAAUGAAAGAAUGCUGGCCACAAGAGUAGCAGGGGCACCAUGAAACUAUAUAACUAACUAGCCAGCACAUGUAAUAAUUUGCACGGAAUUGUUUAAGCAAACUAAUUUUGAGGAACAACAUAACAAUACAUUCACUGUUGCAAAUUUUGUGCUCUCAGCUUUAGGACAUGCAUGAAACAACUAAUUCAUUUCUGUUCCCCAGAUACAUGCUACAUCGCCAAGCCUCCUGAUUACUCAAACUGCAAAGUAGCACUGCCAAAGAUACAGCAAUAACAUUAAUGUAUAUCUGUUGUUGUCUGAUAUCAUGUGAUAAUGUCAUUCUUCUAAACUCUUAAGUUGGAAAAAUAAUUCAGCUGAACAUCAAAAGUUUACUGAGAGGAAAAGGUUGGUUGUUCUCAAUCAGUCAAUCUACUGGAGGACUCACAAUGCCAUGAAACAGAUGGAAAGAUGGAGCAGAGACAUGGGAGGCAGAAUAAGCAAGAAACUCAGAAGCGAAAGAAGUGCAGCAAGACCGUGGCAGAACCUAAAAAAAUAUAGUAGUGAAAGCUCUAUAUAUUGCCAAAGUCUCCAUUUAAUCAUGAGCCCUGAUUAGUGGGCAACAAAUUAAUUGUCAAUACAGGGCUAUAAAGUCUAAAGGACCUGAACUUUCUGGACUUUGCUGAAAAUAAGCACUAGAGACUUUUAUUGUUUGAGUGCAAAUUGAGCAAAAUUUUGCCUUUCGGUGAAAUUGCUGCUCGAUGAUACCUUACCAGUAUAUCAGGUCCGACAGCAGGGUCAAUCACGAAUUGACAGGAAAAAGAAGCACCAUGUUGACGUUUACGAACAACCGAAUCGUAUCAUGGUGGCUCCAGUAGUUAUCUGUACAAAUCUAUCUUGUCUUGACAAAAUGGAGUAGCAUUUUUCAUUUCCAGUUAUCUAGACCAUUCUCUGGCUGUCAAAGCUAUCAUCGGUAGUAACUUCGACAUUAUCUAUUUUAUUAGCUGGAGGUAGCAGCACUGCCGCUAACCUCUCCUAAAACUGGCCUUGUUGCGACAAACUAAUUUACUGCAAAAAUGAACCCAAUCACAACUUCACAGCACGCCGGCACAAGGUAUGUAACAAUCCUUGACAGUCAACCCUAGCCGUAGACCACUACCAGAAAUUUUCUAUUAUAUAAUCGCAUAACUGAAGCAACUGUACCCAAAUGCGGGGGUGCCAUCAACAGCAAGGUUCGUGCAAUAGCAGAUAGCACCAACAAAUUUGAGUUGGGGACUAAGAAGCAAGGAGUAGCGUACCUGGUAACUCCAUUGGCCGCUCGUGGCAUCCCCGUUCCAGCGGUGGACCGGCGCGCUCUCGCCUUCCCCGCAGCGGAGCUGCCCCCGGACCCGGGGGCCGGGGCCACGGCGCCGCCGUGCGCAAGGCUCGCUGGAGCCUAGAGCAGACCGUUCUGCUUCAUCUCUGGUUCGGCGAACUCAGUCGCAACAGUCAACACCCGUGGCUCGCCUCUUCGUGGGCUUUCACAGCGCGUUCAAAUGGGCUUUCCUGUCGUAUGUAGCUGGGCCGCUGUACCAAAGCCGCGGGCCCGCGAAAGAACUUUUUGAAUUAAACUUCGAAUGUACUUGUAAUCAAAAUGUAACUUGUACGUGAGAUUUUAAACUUUC
rnacentral:lncRNA from 1 species